rnacentral:pre_miRNA from 1 species
AGGAGGAAUAACCCCCGUGACUGCGGCAGCUCUGGAAACCUGGAUUUAGCUCCCACAGUAACUCCGGAGCUCUCUGUCUGCAGGGCCUGGAGGCUCGGGGCCGGG